rnacentral:rRNA from 1 species
AUGCAAGUCGAGCGGUAGAGAGAAGCUUGCUUCUCUUGAGAGCGGCGGACGGGUGAGUAACGCCUAGGAAUCUGCCUGGUAGUGGGGGAUAACGUUCGGAAACGGACGCUAAUACCGCAUACGUCCUACGGGAGAAAGCAGGGGACCUUCGGGCCUUGCGCUAUCAGAUGAGCCUAGGUCGGAUUAGCUAGUUGGUGGGGUAAUGGCUCACCAAGGCGACGAUCCGUAACUGGUCUGAGAGGAUGAUCAGUCACACUGGAACUGAGACACGGUCCAGACUCCUACGGGAGGCAGCAGUGGGGAAUAUUGGACAAUGGGCGAAAGCCUGAUCCAGCCAUGCCGCGUGUGUGAAGAAGGUCUUCGGAUUGUAAAGCACUUUAAGUUGGGAGGAAGGGUUGUAGAUUAAUACUCUGCAAUUUUGACGUUACCGACAGAAUAAGCACCGGCUAACUCUGUGCCAGCAGCCGCGGUAAUACAGAGGGUGCAAGCGUUAAUCGGAAUUACUGGGCGUAAAGCGCGCGUAGGUGGUUUGUUAAGUUGGAUGUGAAAUCCCCGGGCUCAACCUGGGAACUGCAUUCAAAACUGACUGACUAGAGUAUGGUAGAGGGUGGUGGAAUUUCCUGUGUAGCGGUGAAAUGCGUAGAUAUAGGAAGGAACACCAGUGGCGAAGGCGGCCACCUGGACUAAUACUGACACUGAGGUGCGAAAGCGUGGGGAGCAAACAGGAUUAGAUACCCUGGUAGUCCACGCCGUAAACGAUGUCAACUAGCCGUUGGAAGCCUUGAGCUUUUAGUGGCGCAGCUAACGCAUUAAGUUGACCGCCUGGGGAGUACGGCCGCUAGGUUAAAACUCAAAUGAAUUGACGGGGGCCCGCACAAGCGGUGGAGCAUGUGGUUUAAUUUCGAAGCAACGCGAAGAAC